CGCUCAUUCAACGUCAUAGCAGGGGGGCGCGGAGAGGGACAGCCGGCGGAGCGAAGAUAGAAAAGCGCGAGUGCGGGCCUGCGGCUGGAAAGACUCGGAGUGAGUUUGGUUAGCGAGCAAGCAGCAUCAAGGUUGUCAAGUCGUUGGUGAUACACCUUUAUUUCUCUCUGCACAUCCCCGCAUCACUUGUGCUUGAAAGUCUGCGAACUCGACACGCUCGAGCUGAUUGGCUGGAGGAAAAGAAACUUGAGGGUUUUAGGACGCUGAGGGCUUUUUUGUCAACGAACAAAAGAAAGGAUGUUCUGGCCAGACAACCAAGACUUUGAGAUGCCAGUGGCUCAGGGUGGUGAUGACACCAAGAACCCAGCCUCCCAGCCCAGAGGCGUAAACAAUGGACUUUUGGGUGUGACGUCCACAAAACUGCUGACCGCUGCCCAGGAAGAGGACAAGCCCAAAGUGUCUGUCGAGGCACCACCUGUCCAUCAUUUCUUCGGAAGCCUAUUCCGGUUUCGUACGGACAGUCUGACCUUGGCUGAGGAUGGCGAUUUCAGCUCCUGGGGCAUCCAGCUGCAAAUGCUCUCCGACUACGAUAUGAUGGCGCCACACGUCAUCACCUGAAUCCAGUCGGCCCGCGAAACACGUUCACGUCAGCAUCACUAGUGACACCUAACAGUAACUAACGUCACGAAGAACUUCGCUCUGGGGGAGAUAAUUCUACUCACAUUGGAGUUUGACCCAUGAACCAGGCUUGGGGGGAAAAAGAAAACAAAAAAAAAAAGUACGAACUUGUUGUUUAAAUCUUAUUUCGUAAAGAAAUGUAAUUUGUGUUGAACUCCGUCGAUAACAGUGUUUGUCUUGUAGAUUUUAUUUAUUGUCUGACCCAAGUAUAGAGGGCAGCAUAACAAAGCACAAGUUGCUCCAUGACUCGGCUAGAAAAAGAAACUUUUUUUCUUGAAACAACAGCAAAUGAAGUAAACCAUCAACGGCUUAUGUUCUUGGAGUAUCACUUAUUUCGAACAAAAAAGAAAAAAAAACUUUCGUUGUGGACUCGUGGCAAUGAAGCUGAACACUUCAAGAUUUCUAGUAACCUGGUUCCAAUCUGACUCCAGUUGAUGUUUAAUGCUCCUCUCUGUAUCAAAACUGUUUUCAAAUCUGUGACCACUGAGGGAAAAAAUUAUUUAUUAACUCUUGUGACUUACUGAUGUGGUAGAUACUUCAUUCCUCGGAAGAAAACUCUCCUCUUGAUAAACUAGACUAACACACAAAAACACUAGGAGCUUGUAACGGUGUUGGAGGCAAUCAGACUGUCUUCGCUGUUUUCAUCAAUCAUUUCAUCUGCGCGCUUUGGGAUGUGCUCAAGUCCAGGUCGACUCGCCGCAGUAACAGAUUUAAAAAAAGGAUGAAUUUCCCCUUCGGCUUGCCAGUCCUGUCUGCUGCAUUCUUCCUGCUUCAUCUUGGCCACCGCUGGAAAUCUCUUCCUUUGUGCCAGAACACGUUUUAAAGCUUGUCUGUAAAUUCAAAUGCUGGUCUUAAUUUAUGUAUUUCUGUUACGAUAUUAUAUGAACUACAAAUAGUAUGUUGUAUCUGCAUCCCAAAGAAGUACACUGUAGUAACUUCAUGUAAAUAUAAUUAUAAAAAGUCAGUACAGCUGAAGGUGAAAAUGAGAUGUGAAAAAGCCCAUAAUGCAAUGCUCACAGACAUUCUAGUGUAUUAUUUUGUGCUAUAAAUUAUGACUGUACAGGGGCAAAUAUGUUCCUACACGUUUAAAAUCUCUAAGGCGGGGAUCACAAUGAUUUACUCGUUUUUGUUAUUUAUAUUUUCGUUGGUUUGUUUUCCAAAGCAUGCAGAAGUGCGGAGAUCAGCACUCUGUCUUCGAAGUUAAUGCUAAUAAUAGUCUACCCGCUGAAAUCGUUGUGUACAUAAUUUGCAUGCCGUUUCUGUUGAAAUAAGACAUUUGGACAGCCCUUAAUCUCUUGCCACUGUGUCUCUCAUCUAUUAACAAUUUGCUGUUGUCUCUUGACCAAAGACAGAGAAACUUAUAGGACAGACGUAAGACGUCUUUAGUGAGCCCACUAGUGCAUGCUAGCUGACCAAGGAACAGUGACUGACGACACUAGAGUGCCGUCCCCUUGCUUUGCCACACUCAACGUAUGCAAAGCUGCUUAAAUUAAAAUGCUUUCAUCUAUACACACUGUGUCAAACCUACAUUUUUUUUGUCUCUGGUGACGUGAAAAUAAACGCAGUGCCGACUAUGAACAUUUUGUGGCGUAGUUUAAAAGCCAAGACUGCUGUUCUUCAAAUUAAAAUCCUUCUCGUCUGCAUUUGCUCUCCUUUUGUAGUUGAUUGCCAACACACAAAAAACUACCAAUGCACAUUUUUAGAUGUUGCAGAUUUCGAUGUUUUCAAUUUUCAGUAAUGGGAAAGAAGUUGGACCAAUCACUAACAAUCAAAAAUGUAAAGUCCUUCUGUACCUUAGCACUGAUCUGGAUCUUCAGCGUUUACCUAGCUUUAUCCUCGAAGUCAAAGGAUUGCGCGGUCUAUUCGUCACCUUUUAAUCUUGAGGUCAAAUGAAGAUUGACCUUAGGCUCAAAUGCUGACGUGUAGUAUGUAGGAAAUCGGAUAACCAUGAGUCAGCGAAUAGAUGCCCGAUUUGUGAAAAAGUUCAGAUAACCCUGUUUACUGUCGUUUAUUUGGCACUGCUGUCAUAGGGAAACCUAUGCGACCAAUUUUGUGACCCGUUAAAACCGUGACCAAAUAGCAAACGCCAUCCCCAUAAUAAGCCAUCACUUGCUCGCCAAGAUUUAUCUUGACAAACGGUUAAAUGACUUAGGCGCCUGCCAGCAUGUGUUCAUUUGUUACAUAUUGACCCGACAUCUACCUUACGCAUUGCAGAAGAAGUCCGCGAUUGAGUGAAAAGUAUAUUUUGGCCAGCAGUGUGUGUGUGUGGAGUGAAAAGCUGCCCUGUAGAUAAGAGCCACCGGAAAUUCUUAAUCUAAACCCGUCCUUUGUUUUGUAACUCGCUAGUGAGAAAUAGUUCUGGUGGUGUUUGGGUCUGGUUAAACACUACUUUCUGCGCCACACUUUUGGCUCGUAGUAAUUCUCAAACCAAAACAUUGAGGAAAACUGAACAGAAACAAAAUACCGUUUUAACUAAUGUUAUUUCUAACUUGUUCCAGACUGAUGUUUUAAAAAUUAUUGGAUAACUUUGUAACAUAAACCGCUCUAAACAUUAGAAAGAUGUUUGAAAGUCCUGAAAUCGACCGUGACCAUUUCGGUUCCAGUGAGCCAACCAUCCAGAUUUCACACCUCAAAAAAUAUUUCCAGGGCUGCGCUGCAUGCAUUUAUGUAACUCCCACCGAGAAAGUUAAUCUUGAAUAUCAGCUGUCAAGUGAUGUAGCUUUCCUCUGCAAAGCGAUGUAUACGAUGUUUAAGACUUACAUGUAGCAGUCACAGACAUUGUCAAUAUACCAGUGUAUUUCUCUCUUUGAUCUUCCUUCUACGAAGGUUCAGUGAACUGGAUGACGUAACAAUGACGCACUAUCAGGUGUUGAUUCACACGAUGACGUAUUAAUGACGCAUUAAUCUUUGAAGAGCUGAUUUGAAGUGGUUUUUUUAAACGUCGAAAUGAUCGUUCACGUUUUCCUCUUUGAUGCAAACUAACAACAAAACGAUGAUCAAACGACUGUCUUUGGUGAGGAAACAUCCAUAUCUGUGCAUGUGCCAGCUGUACGCCUAAAUUCGUAUUACUAAAACUUUCUAAGCCUGAAAUGUAGGUCCGCGAAAUAUUUUUUCCUUAGCAUGUCAUUUACUCAUUUGGUCAUUCAAAAUGUAAGGAUUUGUGAAUGUUAUGCCUACCUCAUUAUGUCAAGCAAUGCCGGUGCCUUUUGUACAUUAAAAAAAAACGAUGGCAUUUUGUAGGAAAUAAAGUAAUUAAAUUGUGCA